rnacentral:lncRNA from 1 species
UCCCUCUCGGCUCUCCCGACUCUCUCUCUCUGCUCGGUCGAGUGCGGCGCCGCCUCCGGCGCGCCGCCUCGCCGUGCAUCUCCCCUCCCCCUCUCAUACUCUCGGUCUCUCCUCUUCUCUCUCUAUCUCGCCGGAAAAACAGAGCCACGGCUCCUUGCUCGGAAUAGGGCAGCAGAGGCUACCCCCACCGUCGCAUCCAUCUUCGCCGCCCACAACCACCGCCGGACUCACGGGGAAGAGCCGAGCGUCGCCGCUCCCGUCGUUCGUCUUGCUGGAAUCGCGGUGGAGGCCGAGCCUUGCCUCGCCGGGAAGGUAGGCUCCAGAUCUGAGCUCCCCCUCUUUUUCUCUUUUCCGGCCGACCAGGAACAGCUCGGUGCUCCCGCUGCCGUGUCGCCGCUGCCGAUGCCGCCGCAUCGUCGUCACCGGAGAAGAUAAGUUCUCCCUCCUAUCUCUCUCUCUCCCUCCCCUGUUCUACCUUCUCUUCUCUCUCUCUCUUUUUUUUUUUUUUUUUUUUUACAGCAGCCCUAACCAUCUCUCUCUCGUUUCAGACAGACAAAGGAAAAAGGCGGCGGCUGCCGCCGCGCCGCCUCCGGCCGCGAGCAGCCGCCGGCUGCUCUCACCCCCCCAAAUUCCAGUCACACGCACAAAACACACAUAGAGCACUUAGGGUUUCAAUUCUGUUCAUUUUCAUUCAUUUCUAUUUACAAAAACUGAUCUGUACUUGUAAUAGAUAGAAAUAUAGUAAAAUGUGUGCGUGUGUAUUAUUCUGUUGGUGGUUCUCUGAUGGUGAUAAGCUGAUGUAAUUGAAACAAUAAUAGUCUAAAAGAAGUGGUAAUGGAUGCGUGUGUUCGAUCUGUUUUCAUUUGAAUCAUAGUUUUGUAAUUUAACAAAUGAAUGUAUGGAGAAAGUAAAGUAGGAGGUAACCUUGAUAUGAGUAGGAA